UAUAUUAGCCAAAACCACAGAUGAUGGUAACGUCUUUGACCAGACUGUUCAAUAAAAUAGUUGUUUUUUUCCCCCUAUGUUUGCACGUUUGAGUUUUAGGUGCAUGAAACCACAUCAAAACAUACUGAUAACAGAGAGGGAGUCCGGUCAAAGAAAGCAUCAUUAUUUGAAUUUGUGUUUUAAAUCAAAGAUACUUAGUAUAUAGUAUAUAAUAUAAUAUCCUUACACAGAUUCCAGUUUAUGACAGCCUUUCACAAUAAAUAAGUCAUUUAUCAGGCCGCAGUUAUCUAAACCUUAACCCCAAAGAGACGGUAGUCUAACACUACUGAAAUAUUUAAUCCACUACGAAGAUCUAAAUGAAGAUAUCAGAAUCCCUGCGCACUCUGUAGAAAUGGACUUUAGACUGGUUUUCGCUGCCAGUCAACAUUCUCAUCUGUUGAGUUGGCCUCCUGGGCAGGGUCUGCAAUAGAUUUGUGGGGACUCAUCAGGGAUUGGCUCUGCAUGCUAGCGGAAAGUCAAUCCUUGGGACCAGCAAAAGUGGUGAUGUUGCAGUUUGCCAUGCCAGUGACUAUAGAGCUGAUGCUGCUAUUAUGAUCCAGUGCCUGCAAGAGAGACAAAGACACUGAUUCUACAUUCUGGAGACGGUGAACAGAGAUCAUACAAAGUCAUGGAGAGUCAUGUCGUGUAACGAAAAGCCUGAUAUGGGAUAUCAGGAAGAGCCUACUCACCAUGUCUACUGACGAACUGUUCCAGGUCGUCAAACUCAUCAGCCCAGCAGUGGGGAGGGAUCAGUCUGAACCGGAUGCUGAGGAACAAGAGGGUUGCUUUGAGUACAUUAGUCACUGUACAUCAUGUCCAAUAGGCACUUACUGGAGCUGGAGGACAGAGAAGUUUGUGAAUCGUUUAGGAUAAAAUGCAGUCUUUCUUCACCAUACCAUCCUCAAACCAACGGGUUAGUGGAACAGAUGAAUGGCACAAUACAGAGGUAAGUUUAGUAUCUGUAUGCAUAAAGAAUAAUGGACUUACCAUAUAGGUGCAUUUUGCACAUAUUCAAUUACAUAUUGUAGUCUAUCUGUUUCUCUGCAUAAUUGGUUUGACACCACCUAAGCCCCUUCAUCAAAGGUCAGGAUGACAUGUAUGGUUAAGCAUUAUUUAGGUAGUUGUGCUGUCUACUGCAGUGACACCAGCACAGUAGCGGCAUGGUAGUGGAUGUGUGUGCUACACAUAAUGGAGUUUUUAAACAAAUCAGUAUCACUGACGGGUUGAGAAUAGCCCACCAAACCAAAACUAUCUAGCCUACAGCUCCAUUUGGCCAGACACUGACCAACUACUGACUAUCUACAACUGUACAUCUACAAGGUAGAUCAACAGGAUAGGUGUAGGCAGGAAGUGUACACGGUCUACCUGAAAUCCAACAACACUGCUGUGUCUGAUACACUCGUAUUAGUUCAACAAACACUGACAUACUACAACCUGGUCAGUGUCACUGAUGUCUUGAGAACGCUUCACCACCCAAAUAAUACUUGAUCAGUGGUGGUCCUAUGGUGUCUGAACAUUGAUAAAACACAGGCAAACAAAUUAGGCAGAGAAAGAGAUAGAUGACAGGUAAUUAAAGAUGUACAAUAUACUGUAAUGUACACCUAUGUUUUAAGUGGACCUGAUAAAAUGGACAAUCAGUGUUGAUACAUGGUAGGCAUACUUAAUAAAGUGAGUGUGGUUCAUCACACUAACAAAGCAGUGUUUUGCUUCAGUUACAGAUUGUGUUGCAGAAAGAGGAAAGUACUACAAAACUACCCAAACUUGUAAGCUGUUGCUAUGUACUGUUAAUGUACAGUUGUUUUUUUCAGAGCCCUUGGAAAACUGUGAAACUACAAACCACAAACAUGGGACAAAUACCUUGAUGCUGUGCUGUUUAAUAUCAGAACCAAAAAAAAAACAACUGACUACACAGUAUUCACCAUUUUACCUAGUGUAUUUUGCUUGUAUUUCCUCAUUUGUAAGUUGCUUUGGAUAAAAGGGUCUGCUAAAUGAAUAAAUGUAAAUGUAAAAGUAAAUGUUUGGAAGAGAGGCAUGCUACUUCUCAGAAGUACCCGAAUCUUUAAUUGUGAGUUUAUUCACUGCGCUAAAGCUUUUUUCUAUGAUAUUUUUAAGAGUGGCAUGCUACGUUCUCAGAAGUACGUGAAUCUUUCAGUGUGAGUUUAUUCACUGCACUGAAGUUUUUUUCUAUGAUAUUUUUGUACUCAUGUUUAUAUCUUGUUUAAAUAAUUUUUUAAAUAUCAAAUUUUAUAAAAAUAGAAGUUCCUUUUCUUAGGUCAGUUUCCUUUGCCUCGGUCAAUGAAACAGUGGGAGAUAUGCUCCAGGCAGAGAUAAUCAAGCCCGACAUGCCAAUGCAGGACCAGGAUUAUGAGGCAGUGAAGAAAAAUAUGUCCUCAGGAGGAAUAUCAGAAGUCAGCAGAGGAAAGGAGGGAGGGAGGGAAGUUGGACAGAAAUUUUCUGUGGCCCUUCAUGAUUACUUCCUUACAAGAAGCUAAAAGCACAGCACCUCCGGUCCAAAGCACAGCACCUCUCAUCUCAAGCACAGCAUCUCCAGUCCCAAGCACAGCACCACCUAGCCCAGGCACAGCAUUUCUGGUCCCAAGAACAACAUCUCCCAUCUCAAGGACAGAAUCUCUCAUCCCAAGCACAGCACUGCCCAUCACAAGCUUUAUGAGGAGUAAAGGCUGCAAAGUUUCAAGGUGGAUGUAUGACAUUGUUCCUCACCCAAUGCAAUGUGACUGCAAAUCUUGUGCUGUCAUUGUAUGCAAGGAAAAAAAAAUCCUGACAGACCAGCCUAUCACGUUCUCAAAUAUAGAAAAGGCAGUUAACCUCAUAAGGAAAAUAUAGCAGUGACCCUUAUGCAGCAAUCAGUUUGCCUGUGUGGCAGCGAAGAUGUGGUCGAGUGUCAGCUGCGGACGGAGAGGAGGUCCAGAAACCAGAGGAUCUGAUGGCGCCUAAGAGGCAAGACCAGGAGAAACCAACAAGCUGAGGUCACUGAACUUCUGAUAACCAUUGUGGAUGGGAUAGAUAGUGCAGAUCUUCUGUACUUCAAGGACAUUCUCAAGGACUUGGCAUCUCUUCAUUACAAGAUUUCCUCAUUGGACCAGACUUCAGGAUGGUUAAGAGGACUUACUGGAUCUCUCUGGCACAAUAUUGUUGAGUUUGGUGUGUUUAUUAUCUCUAACACUGCUCUGAUUAUUGUAUGCUUACUACAUAACUGAUGAUGUCUUAUUUGCUUCAGGUUUGUACUCAUAGCAAAAUUAUAUAAGCAAGGCAUGCUGAAUGAAGGUUUGACCAUAUAGAAUUUGGUCUGAAUAGCUUUUUGUAGAAGGCUAGUAGUGACUGGCCAUCACAAUAUAUGAAUAUGAUUUAGGUUGACUAAGGUUGCUUUGUGAUACUCCCUUAAGGAGUAUCAGAGGGGAAAGUGAAGGAAAUAUUUGACUUCAAUUAAUUGCUUUUAAUUAUUUUCCUCUGACAUCACAACCAUUUGCUGAAGUUUUAUGCUUGGGUCAUGUUUCUCAUUCCUUGUGCCUUGGUAUGGUCUUAGAACACACCAAGGUCAGAGGUGACACACUGUCUAGCUCAGCCUGAUUCUCCAUAAUCUCUUCCCUCCUUCUCUGUACAUAGUCAACACCAGGCUCCUGGUUUCUGACUCAUUGUUGCAGAAUAUCCAAUAGACCAUUAAUGCAAUUCUGAAAACAUUUCUGAAGUUGCUUUAUAUUUUUAUUUUGGCAUAUUUGCGUAAGUGCUUUCAUAAUUCACUAAAGAAACCAAAAUUGUUCAUUCAAUGACAAAACAUACAGUAACAUCUCAAGGAUUCUUGGAAACUUCUAGAAGGUUUGUAAGAGUUUGUCAAAUUUGGAAACCUUUUACUUUUUAAAAUGUUUUUGCCAUAUAUGGCGGUUGUGUGGUAUGACCUCAAGAAAACAGUGAAAAUUAAAUUUGAUCUAUAAAUCUG